rnacentral:misc_RNA from 1 species
GAUUUGCACCUGGUCAACGUAGUCGAAGAUAUGAAGGCGAGAGAAGCUAGUCAGAGUUUCCAUGCAGAAAGGAAAAAAGGAGUGAGAACUUUGGUACCAAUUCCAAUCGGCUGUGUUCUUGGACUGAUAACUGAAGAUAUAGAAAUAGGUCAAAACCUCACAGACGCAAAAUUGGUUGAACCAAAACUUAAGGUAAACUUUAAAAUACUUAAACUCGUUUUUUUUGUUAUUUAUAUAUAAAGUAACCUAAGAAUCUUGGCACGCAAUAUUUUUAUUGUGUAUAUUAUAAAUUAAAGUUACGCCUUGCGUGUUUUCUCUUUCUAAUGCAAUUACAAAAUGUGACAACCCGCACGACUCGUAGAGACGAAAAACUGUUUUGCAGACAAUAAGUGUCGCUUUUUUUAACAAUUAUAACUUUAUAUUAUUGACAUCAUUGAACUACAACAAUAGAAAGCAAAAAAAAAGUAUCUCUAAAAAAAACAAUACGAUGAUUUUUGCGUUUUGUUUCUUUCCUAAACUUUUCCGAAAGUCUUUUUCAACAACAUUUAACAUCUGCUACAUUUGACAAGUUGAUGACCAGCAUCGCCUACAUCCCGAUCAUCCAUUGUACAGAAGAGCUUUUGUUAAUGAGAAAGGAAAGUGAAAAGGUAUAUAUCCCAUGAUAAUCCAGGCUAUUGUUAAUUGUAUGGAAAUUUUCUUUCUCUUUUUAUACAAAUAUCCUAAAGACGCAUUUAAACAAUACGUAUACAUUAUAAGUGUGUGUAUGUAUAGUUAAUUUCCGUAGAAGAACGCCGUCGGCCACGUGCGUUAUAGCUGGUGUGUCUCGAGUCAACAAAACGCCGUUCGUAUUUAUUGGUUUUAUUCAUUGCCUAAUUCUAAAGCGAUUUUCCUACAUGUUUACCCGGCUAUUCGUUGUGGGUGUUCAUACAAUUUUUACACGCAAACAAAUUUUUAUAGACGUACCAAGGACGUACGUGUAUGUUUAUAAUCUGCCGUCUACGCCCCCAUCUCAUCUUUCAUAUUAAAUUCAAAUAAAGAUAAUUUCGCUAAACUAUCAUUUUCCCUUUAUCAUAAUAGCUAAAGGCUUCGUACGAUGGUCAGCUAACUUGUUCGGAAGAUGGAUGGCUGGAAGAAAUUCGACCUGCCAGAAAUAGGCACGAACAGAAUGUUGAAGCAGUGAGAGGGGAAAAGAGAAAGCUAGUAUUACGAACCAUCAGGUCAAUUCAUUGCGGACAGGAAAUCUUCGUUUGGUAUGGUGAAGAGCUAGGAAGAGAAAUGAAUAUUCCUAUUUUAUCCCCAGCUAAUAUCAAAGGCUCAAAUGACUAUCGAUGUUCAUCUUGCUCAGCCUCUUUUCAACACCCAAAUGUCCUGAAGGCUCACAUUCGAUUUAAGUGUUCCAGCAAUCUGGGAAGCUUACUUGGGGGUUCAGACGAACCUUUGAAUUUAUCAAAGAGAACCUCUAUUCAGCAGCAGCAACAUCAACCUAUUCAAAUAUUUAAUCAUAUUCAUGCACCCGCCUUUGCUUUACCAGCCGCACUGCUCUACCCGACAUUGUAUCCUACGUCAACUCCAUUCUAUCCUCAAUUUCUUACUUCUGGACCGUCUCCGCCUGCUCCUCAAGUAAAAAAUGAGCCAAAUACCGAAACGCACCUGCCACCCACCUUCCCCUUACCAAGCGAGAAGGAUGGCGAACCUAUCGACCUUCUACCGCGUUCCCUUUACAUGAACAAGUCGAAUAAGGGUCACCUGUGUAUAUACUGCGGAAAGUUGUACUCGCGCAAGUACGGACUCAAGAUCCACUUGCGCACGCACACCGGAUACAAGCCGCUUAAAUGUAAGAUUUGCCUUCGACCGUUCGGAGAUCCGAGCAAUCUCAAUAAACACAUAAGGCUACACGCUGAGGGCGAUACGCCCUACCGUUGUCAUUUAUGUGGAAAGGUUCUAGUCCGAAGAAGAGAUUUAGAUAGGCAUAUAAGGUCAAGGCAUCCAGUAGAUUCAACAAAAAAUCACUCAGAUAGCCUCCCACCAGAAGAAGAGGAAGAAGAGGAAAUGGAAGAAUUAGAAGCUAUUGAAGGAGAGUUGAGUGACGGAGGUGUUGCUGAUGAUGAGGAAGAAAUCGAAGUUGUUGUUUGAGCAACAGCUGCAAUUACUUUUCAAUCUGCCGCCAAUAAAAAGCGGUCAUAAUAAAGAUGUACGAUGACGUAUAGCGGUUGUUUUUACCGCUUCUGUCAAAAUCCCCUAACAAGGGACUCUGUCUGUCGAUACAUGUGGGCGUGGCUAAAUAAAAAGAAUUUAAUCCUCCUAUUUAUUUACGCCUUUAUCAGCG